CGACGGCGGUGGCGUCCCACCAGCCGGAUUACUUGAGUUCGACGGCGCCAAUGAUGGCGCAUUACCAGGUGACGAUGGAACCGCCGGCGGUGACGUGGAAGGGGAGGUUCCCGGCGGGGGAGAUACUCCUGUUGGAGCAUUAGCCGCAGGUGGCUGCGAUGACGGUGACGUGGAGGGGGAAGUUCCCGGAGCCGGUGACAGCCCAGUUGGAGCAUUAGCCGCAGGUGGUUGCGAUGACGGUGACGUGGAGGGGGAAGUUCCCGGAGCCGGUGACAGCCCAGUUGGAGCAUUAGCCGCAGGUGAUUGGGAUGAUGAUGGUGACGUAGAAGGUGAAGUUGCCGGCACCGGAGAGUACCCUUUUGGAGGAUAAGGCGAAGGCGCAUGAGAUGAUGGUGACGUGGAAGGUGAAGUCGCCGGCACUGGAGAGUAUCCUUUUGGAGGAUAAGGCGAAGACGUGGAAGGUGAAGUUGCCGGCGUCGGAGAGGACCCUUUAGGAGGAUUAGCCGAAGGUGCAUGAGAUGUUGGUGAGGUGGAGGGGGAAGUCGCCGGCGGCUGUGUGGCCGGAGAAGGAGACUUAGGAGACGGGGCAUGCGGUGGAGGUUUCGUGGUGGGGGGUCCAGUUGAGGGAGGGGGAGGCCUUUCAUGCAAAACGACGACGAUUAAUUUCUGUCCCUUUUGGCAAUGAUCAUGGUUUCCACUUAUGAAAUAGAAAGGACCCGAACGAUCAAGCUUGAACUCUGAGUCACCCGAAUCCAGUUUCAGCAAAGGCUUCUUCGUGUUGCAGCUGUCGUAAUCAUCUUU
rnacentral:lncRNA from 1 species